UACAGAGGGUGCAAGCGUUGUUCGGAAUUACUGGGCGUAAAGCGCGCGUAGGCGGCUUUGUAAGUUAGAGGUGAAAGCCCGGGGCUCAACUCCGGAAUUGCCUUUAAGACUGCAUCGCUAGAAUUGUGGAGAGGUAAGUGGAAUUCCGAGUGUAGAGGUGAAAUUCGUAGAUAUUCGGAAGAACACCAGUGGCGAAGGCGACUUACUGGACACAUAUUGACGCUGAGGUGCGAAAGCGUGGGGAGCAAACAGG
rnacentral:rRNA from 1 species